GUUUCCAUAGUGUAGUGGUUAUCACGUUCGUCUCACAUAUGAAAGGUCCCCAGUUCAAAACUUGGUGCAAACA